ACAGCAGCAGCCACGGGAAUACGUAGGUGGCAAGCGUUGUCCGGAAUCAUUGGGCGUAAAGGGCUCGCAGGCGGUUUCUUAAGUCUGAUGUGAAAGCCCCCGGCUCAACCGGGGAGGGUCAUUGGAAACUGGGAAACUUGAGUGCAGAAGAGGAGAGUGGAAUUCCACGUGUAGCGGUGAAAUGCGUAGAGAUGUGGAGGAACACCAGUGGCGAAAGCGGCUCUCUGGCUUGUAACUGACGCUGAGGCUCGAAAGCGUGGGGAGCAAACAGGAUUAGAUACCCGCGUAGUCCCUGUCUCUUAUAC
rnacentral:rRNA from 1 species